rnacentral:rRNA from 1 species
AUUGAACGCUGGCGGCAUGCCUUACACAUGCAAGUCGAACGGCAGCACGGGUGCUUGCACCUGGUGGCGAGUGGCGAACGGGUGAGUAAUACAUCGGAACAUGUCCUGUAGUGGGGGAUAGCCCGGCGAAAGCCGGAUUAAUACCGCAUACGAUCUACGGAUGAAAGCGGGGGACCUUCGGGCCUCGCGCUAUAGGGUUGGCCGAUGGCUGAUUAGCUAGUUGGUGGGGUAAAGGCCUACCAAGGCGACGAUCAGUAGCUGGUCUGAGAGGACGACCAGCCACACUGGGACUGAGACGCGGCCCAGACUCCUACGGGAGGCAGCAGUGGGGAAUUGUGGACAAUGGGCGAAAGCCUGAUCCAGCAAUGCCGCGUGUGUGAAGAAGGCCUUCGGGUUGUAAAGCACUUUUGUCCGGAAAGAAAUCCUUGGCUCUAAUACAGUCGGGGGAUGACGGUACCGGAAGAAUAAGCACCGGCUAACUACGUG